AGUGAACGCUGGCGGUAGGCCUAACACAUGCAAGUCGAACGGCAGCACAGUAAGAGCUUGCUCUUACGGGUGGCGAGUGGCGGACGGGUGAGGAAUACAUCGGAAUCUACUUUUUCGUGGGGGAUAACGUAGGGAAACUUACGCUAAUACCGCAUACGACCUACGGGUGAAAGCAGGGGAUCUUCGGACCUUGCGCGAUUGAAUGAGCCGAUGUCGGAUUAGCUAGUUGGCGGGGUAAAGGCCCACCAAGGCGACGAUCCGUAGCUGGUCUGAGAGGAUGAUCAGCCCAACUGGAACUUGGACACGGUCCCGACUCCUUAGGGAGGCAGCAGUGGGGAAUAUUGGACAAUGGGCGCAAGCCUGAUCCAGCCAUACCGCGUGGGUGAAGAAGGCCUUCGGGUUGUAAAGCCCUUUUGUUGGGAAAGAAAAGCAGCAGGUUAAUACCCCGCUGUUCUGACGGUACCCAAAGAAUAAGCACCGGCUAACUUCGUG
rnacentral:rRNA from 1 species